rnacentral:lncRNA from 1 species
CCUCCUUCUUCGUUUUUGUUAUUGAAUUGUGAUGGAUCUCUUAGAAAAGAAGGUUGUAUUAGAGGGUCUGGUGGUGUCUUAAGGGAUUUUGAGGGUAACUUUAUUUGGGGGUUUGCAAAUAAGGGUCCAGCAGAUUUGGAUGUUUUGGCUAUUGAAUGUGUUGCUAUACACAUGGGUUUGAUGAAGGCUGCCGAGUUGGGACUAUCUUGUUUCGUGGUAGCAUCAGUCUCGCAAGAAGUGGUGGCUUUACUGAAGAGUGAUGGUGAGCUAUAAAGUAAUUUGGAAAUAUUGUGGACGACACUAGAAGGUUGAUGGUGCAGUUGUGUGUUGGUGACGUUCGUUUUCAGCCGUGAUUGGGGAAUUGACUAGCCCAUGGUAUGGCGCAGUUUGGAUUGCGAGAACAACAUCCGUCUUUCUGGGAUGGUUUAGCUUCUGACUGACUAGUAUUAAUGUUGGUAACAUACAUGGAGGGUGGGUAGUUUUAUUUGUCUUAUUGCUUGCGGAUGUUGUGGUAGUCUUUUUUCUUGACCCAAUUUUCUAUAUUAGGGGUUUUUAUGGCAAG